rnacentral:rRNA from 1 species
AGCGAACGCUGGCGGCAGGCUUAACACAUGCAAGUCGAACGGGCGUAGCAAUACGUCAGUGGCAGACGGGUGAGUAACGCGUGGGAACGUACCUUUUGGUUCGGAACAACCCAGGGAAACUUGGGCUAAUACCGGAUAAGCCCUUACGGGGAAAGGAUUUAUCGCCGAAAGAUCGGCCCGCGUCUGAUUAGCUAGUUGGUGAGGUAACGGCUCACCAAGGCGACGAUCAGUAGCUGGUCUGAGAGGAUGAUCAGCCACAUUGGGACUGAGACACGGCCCAAACUCCUACGGGAGGCAGCAGUGGGGAAUAUUGGACAAUGGGCGGCAAGCCUGAUCCAGCCAUGCCGCGUGAGUGAUGAAGGCCCUAGGGUUGUAAAGCUCUUUUGUGCGGGAAGAUAAUGACGGUACCGCAAGAAUAAG